GACGAACGCUGGCGGCGUGCUUAACACAUGCAAGUCGAACGGAAAGGCCCUGCUUUCGUGGGGUGCUCGAGUGGCGAACGGGUGAGUAACACGUGAGUAACCUGCCCUUGACUUUGGGAUAACUUCAGGAAACUGGGGCUAAUACCGGAUAGGAGCUCCUGCUGCAUGGUGGGGGUUGGAAAGUUUCGGCGGUUGGGGAUGGACUCGCGGCUUAUCAGCUUGUUGGUGGGGUAGUGGCUUACCCAGGCUUUGACGGGUACCCGGCCUGAGAGGGUGACCGGCCACAUUGGGACUGCGAGACGGCCCAGACUCCUACGGGAGGCAGCAGUGGGGAAUAUUGCACAAUGGGCGGAAGCCUGAUGCAGCGACGCCGCGUGCGGGAUGACGGCCUUCGGGUUGUAAACAGCUUUCGCCUGUGACGAAGCGUGAGUGACGGUAAUGGGUAAAGAAGCACCGGCUAACUACGUG
rnacentral:rRNA from 1 species